AGCAGCCGCCGCGGUAAUGCGUAGGUGGCAAGCGUUGUCCGGAAUUAUUGGGCGUAAAGGGCUCGCAGGCGGUUUCUUAAGUCUGAUGUGAAAGCCCCCGGCUCAACCGGGGAGGGUCAUUGGAAACUGGGAAACUUGAGUGCAGAAGAGGAGAGUGGAAUUCCACGUGUAGCGGUGAAAUGCGUAGAGAUGUGGAGGAACACCAGUGGCGAAGGCGACUCUCUGGUCUGUAACUGACGCUGAGGAGCGAAAGCGUGGGGAGCGAACGGGAUUAGAUACCCCCGUAGUCCCUGUCUCUUAUAC
rnacentral:rRNA from 1 species